CGAACAAUGAAGCCAACAGGUUUGCCGCAAAUUAUCGCGGCUGGGAAGGGGGUGAGAAUCCCCCGCAGCCCCCGCUGCUGUGAUGCUGACGACCCCGUAAUCACCACUGAUCGCAAGAUUGGGAAGGACGGGCGAGGACGACGCUAAGCCAGAAGACCGGCCUGAUGGUUACUCUCAAC
rfam:Kluyvera intermedia strain CAV1151, complete genome.